rnacentral:rRNA from 1 species
AUCAACUUUCGAUGGUAGGAUAGAGGCCUACCAUGGUGGUAACGGGUAACGGGGUGUUAGGGCACGACACCGGAGAGGGAGCCUGAGAAACGGCUACCACAUCCAAGGAUGGCAGCAGGCGCGCAAAUUACCCAAUCCCGACACGGGGAGGUAGUGACAAUAAAUAACAAUACGGGGUUCUUUUGGAUUUCGUAAUUGGAAUGAGUACAAUUUAAAUCUCUUAACGAGGAACAAUUGGAGGGCAAGUCUGGUGCCAGCAGCCGCGGUAAUUCCAGCUCCAAUAGCGUAUAUUAAAGUUGUUGCAGUUAAAAAGCUCGUAGUUGAAUUUCGGGAUCAGUGGGUCGGUCGUGCCACUGGUAUGCACUGGCUCUACUGGUUCCUCCUUCUUGAAGAACUGUAAUGCCAUUAAUUUGGUGUUGCAGGGAAACAGGACUGUUACUUUGAAAAAAUUAGAGUGUUUAAAGCAGGCAAUCGCUUGAAUACAUUAGCAUGGAAUAAUGAAAUAGGACGUUCGAUCCUAUUUUGUUGGUUUCUAGGAUUGACGUAAUGAUUAAUAGGGAUAGUUGGGGGCAUUAGUAUUCAAUUGUCAGAGGUGAAAUUCUUGGAUUUAUUGAAGACUAACUACUGCGAAAGCAUUUGCCAAGGAUGUUUUCAUUAAUCAAGAACGAAAGUUAGGGGAUCGAAGACGAUCAGAUACCGUCGUAGUCUUAACCAUAAACUAUGCCGACUAGGGAUCGGAUGAUGUUAAUUUUUUAAUGACUCAUUCGGCGCCUUACGGGAAACCAAAGUGUUUGGGUUC